ensembl:lncRNA
GUCUUAGUGAAGGAGGUGUGUCCUCUGUGUGUCAGACUCAGUGAAGGAGGUGUGGCCUCUGUGUGUGUUGUCUUAGUGAAGGAGGUGUGUCCUCUGUGUGUCAGACUCAGUGACAGAGGCGUGGCCUCUGUGUGUCAGACUCAGUGAAGGAGGCGUGUCCUGUGUGUGUCAGUCUCAGUAAAGGAGGCGUGGCCUCUGUGUGUCAGACUCAGUAAAGGAGGCGUGGCCUCUGUGUGUGUGUCAGUCUCAGUGAAGGAGGCGUGUCCUGUGUGUGUCAAUCUCAGUAAAGGAGGCGUGGCCUCUG